GAAGUAUCUCAUCCAGUCGCUGUCCCUAACAGGACGGAGGAAAGUCCGGGCUCCGCAGGGCAGGGUGCAGGAGAAACUCCUGUGGGUGCGAACCCAAGGAAAGUGCCACAGAAAAUAUACCGCCGGGAGCAAUCCCGGUAAGGGUGAAAAGGCGAGGCAAGGGCUCACCGGACGCGCGGCGACGCGCGUGCCUGGCAAACCCCACCCGGAGCAAGGUCGAAUAGGGGAGGAUGAGGCUGCCCGCUGACUCCCGGGUACGACCGCUGAGAUAAAUGACUGGACACGACAGAACCCGGCUUACGAGGUGCUUCCGCU
rnacentral:RNase_P_RNA from 1 species